GCAAGUCGAACGAGAAAGGGAUUGCUUGCAAUCCUGAGUAGAGUGGCGCACGGGUGAGUAACACGUAGAUAAUCUGCCUUCAAACCUGGGAUAACUAUUCGAAAGGAUAGCUAAUACCGGAUAAAGUCGAUUUACACAAGUAGAUUGAUGAAAGAUUGCCUCUUCUUGAAAGCAAUUGUUUGGGGAUGAGUCUGCGGACCAUUAGCUUGUUGGUGGGGUAAAGGCCUACCAAGGCAGCGAUGGUUAGCUGGUCUGAGAGGAUGAUCAGCCACACUGGAACUGGAACACGGUCCAGACUCCUACGGGAGGCAGCAGUGAGGAAUUUUGCGCAAUGGGGGCAACCCUGACGCAGCAACGCCGCGUGAGUGAAGAAGGCCCUUGGGUCGUAAAGCUCUGUCAACUGGGAAGAAAUUAGUUUUAUUUAAUAGAUAGAGCUAUUGACGGUACCAGUGGAGGAAGCGCCGGCUAACUCCGUGCCAGCAGCCGCGGUAACACAGGGGGCGCAAGCGUUAUUCGGAAUUAUUGGGCGUAAAGGGCGCGCAGGCGGUCUUGUCCGUCAGGUGUGAAAGCUCGGGGCUCAACCCCGGAAGUGCACUUGAAACAGCAAGACUUGAAUACAGGAGAGGAAAGCGGAAUUCCUGGUGUAGAGGUGAAAUUCGUAGAUAUCAGGAGGAACACCGAUGGCGAAGGCAGCUUUCUGGACCGAUAUUGACGCUGAGGCGCGAAGGCGUGGGUAGCGAACGGGAUUAGAUACCCCGGUAGUCCACGCAGUAAACGUUGUACACUCUGUGUGGCGGAUAUUAAAAUCUGCUGUGCCUAAGCUAACGCAUUAAGUGUACCGCCUGGGAAGUACGGUCGCAAGACUAAAACUCAAAGGAAUUGACGGGGGCCCGCACAAGCGGUGGAGCAUGUGGUUUAAUUCGACGCAACGCGAAGAACCUUACCUGGGUUUGACAUCCUGUGAAUAUUGUAUAAUCGCAAUAGUGCCUUCGGGAGCACAGAGACAGGUGCUGCAUGGCUGUCGUCAGC
rnacentral:rRNA from 1 species